rnacentral:lncRNA from 1 species
AGUUCACCUGCAUCUCGUUAUUGGGCCAUGAGAAAUAGCAGCCCGACCCUCAGUUUGAUCCAGGAACAAUCUCACCAGGGCUUGCCAUCAGCCCAGGACAAUUGACAAGACACUGCUCUCGGGCACCAGAUACACCAACCGAGCGAUUCUCAGAACCCCUAGCAUGGGCCACAAACCAAACACGCAGAGCCGCAGCGAGGACAGAGGGUGCCGCGUGGCCCUUCCUGACAUUCUUUCAUCUGCACACUGUACCGUCAACUCAUUUUCUGCACGGAAUGAAGAUACAUCACUCUGCUCUGGAAAACUACAUUUAGCAUCUCCUUCUUUUUGUGGGGCAGGGAAGUUUUCAUCGACAAAGCGUUUGUAUUGCAGAUGGCUCACCAUAUGCCACGUUCCUGCACGUUAUCACCUUGUAAGCAGAUUCUGUCAGGUUUUAGGAGUAAAA